rnacentral:rRNA from 1 species
GACGAACGCUGGCGGCGUGCUUAACACAUGCAAGUCGAACGGAAAGGCCCUGCUUUUGUGGGGUGCUCGAGUGGCGAACGGGUGAGUAACACGUGAGUAACCUGCCCUUGACUUUGGGAUAACUUCAUGAAACUUGGUCUAAUACCGGAUAGGAGCUCCUGCUGCAUGGUGGGGGUUGGAAAGUUUCGGCGGUUGGGGAUGGACUCGCGGCUUAUCAGCUUGUUGGUGGGGUAGUGGCUUACCAAGGCUUUGACGGGUAGCCGGCCUGAGAGGGUGACCGGCAACAUUGGGACUGAGAUACGGCCCAGACUCCUACGGGAGGCAGCAGUGGGGAAUAUUGCACAAUGGGCGGAAGCAUGAUGCAGCAACGCCGCGUGCGGGAUGACGGCCUUCGGGUUGUAAACCGCUUUCGCCUGUGACGAAGCGUGAGUGACGGUAAUGGGUAAAGAAGCACCGGCUAACUACGUG